GACGAACCGUGCGAACGUUAUUCGGAAUCACUGGGCUUAAAGGGCGCGUAGGCGGGCCAUCAAGUCAGAGGUGAAAGCCCCCGGCUCAACCGGGGAACUGCCUCGGAUACUGGGCGUCUCGAGUGUGGUAGGGGUAUGCGGAACUAUCGGUGGAGCGGUGAAAUGCGUUGAUAUCGAUAGGAACUCCGGUGGCGAAGGCGGCAUACUGGACCACCACUGACGCUGAUGCGCGAAAGCCAGGGGAGCAAACGGG
rnacentral:rRNA from 1 species